UUUUUUUUUUUUUUUUUUUUUUUUUUUUUAAAAUUUCAAUGUUUACAAAACAAGAGUAUG
rnacentral:ribozyme from 12 species